UAUUGUAAUCUCUAUUUUUAUAUACACUGGUUUUUAUGUUUAAAAUGUUUUCAUAUGUCGUACCCAUUCACAUGAGUUUAAAACAUGAGACAUUGCGACUGCAAUUGUAUUUUCAUUUCUACUUUGCAUUUCAAUAUUUUGAGCAUUUGCGCUUCCCGUACUCCAGUCAGAACUAGUCUGCUGGAGGUAAGCUGUGCAUAGAGAGUGCUCCGUGAAUAAUUUUGUGUUUUAAUAUAAAAUAACAUGUUUGUCUUCCACACUGGUUCAAAUACGUAUAUACAUAAGUUGUAUUAAUAGAUAAUUUCUGCAAGUAAUGCUAGAGUGUUGUCUAAGAUGGUAUCUAAUUGAGCCAUUGUGGCCUACGUCUUUUUGGCGGCAGCCACGUUAUGUUAGCUAGCUUUAUGAAGAAAACACUUGCAAUUUCUUGAUUUCCUUUUUACGUUUAUACUGUAGAUUUGGGUAUGCAGUCGUCAUCGUCUAAUCUCAGUGGAUUCUUUGUUUUAUUUGUGAAUGCAGGAAUAGCAUAGACAAUGCUAGGAGUCAGAACUAGUCUGCUGGAGAUUUGGGUAUGCAGUCGUCAUCGUCUAAUCUCAGUGGAUUCUUUGUUUUAUUUGUGAAUGCAGAGAAAUAAAAACAGUGAGAAGAGUU